UACAGAGGGUGCAAGCGUUGUUCGGAAUUAUUGGGCGUAAAGCGCGUGUAGGCGGCUUUGCAAGUCGGGUGUGAAAGCCCUCAGCUCAACUGAGGAAGUGCGCCCGAAACUGCAGAGCUUGAGUGCCGGAGAGGGUGGCGGAAUUCCCCAAGUAGAGGUGAAAUUCGUAGAUAUGGGGAGGAACACCGGCGGUGUAGACGGCUCACUGGACCGUAACUGACGCUGAGACACGAAAGCGUGGGUAGCAAACAGG
rnacentral:rRNA from 1 species